rnacentral:rRNA from 1 species
AUGGCUCCUACCGAGGCUGAGGAUGAUGUAGAGGAGGGAGAAGAGAAUAAGAAGAGGGAAAGGAAGGCAGCUGGAGCUGCUUUCACGUGGAUUCAAAAUAACUUUGCGACGUGCCCUCCGGAUGCAACUGAUGAUGUGAUCCAGACACAUGCUCGUGUGUAUAUGUGGUACAUUGUGUCGAGGACUUUGUUUCCUGACUCCACUGGCAAGAACGCUCCAUGGAUGUGGCUGAAGGCGUUGACCGUCUUCGAUAGCAAAUGGAGCUGGGGUUCAGCGACUCUUGCCUACUUGUACCGACAGGUAGUUGGUCUGUUUUGUGAUCAACUCAUUUAUUCAUUAGCAAUGCAAGCUUGCUGUCAAGUUAACAUUGUUUUUCUUUCAUAUGUAGCUGGAUGA